AGAGCAGCCUUUAACCGACACUGCCAGAGGAACUGAAUCCUGCAAACAACCACAUGAGUUUGAGCUUGGAAGUGGAUCCUAAGCCUGGGAGAUGCCUGUGGCCCUGACUGAUGACACAUAGCCAACAGCCUUUAAGAGACGCUGAGUGGAAGACUCAGCCAAGCCUCGCCUGCAUGCCUGACUAGAGAUGGACUAGAGCAGAUCACGUCCGUCAGCCGAGGGAUGGUGACAUCCAGAUUUUCAUCCAUCCAUCUUCGAAAAUCUCCAAUGUCACAGGGUGAAAAUGGCCUCCCAGAGUCUGGGAGAGUCUGAAGCAACUUAAAUGUCGGGCCAUGGAAGGGAUCAGCAUAUUCUGCCCAUUUGUGAGUGAGGAGCUUGUGGUUCCUAACUCCACUCUGCCAAGGGUCCUGACAUAAGGAGGUGACUUGAUGGAGUUCCACAUGACCUCGGUUUGAAGAGAAAUACAUGGCCGGGCAGGGUGGGAAGCGGUGAGCUGGCAGCUAGCCAAGGACUCAAGGAGAAAACCUGGAGCCGCCAAGCCUCUCCAUCUUCCUCAGGACCUCAUGGUGGUGAAUGGACUGUAAAGGCCCCGUCAUCUUCCCAAGUGCCGGGCUGAGACUAGCUCACUGGUCUGACUGGAGCCAAGGAGAGAGGGGGGAGCCCCGACAGCCCCGCAGGAGCUGCGCCUCCCUGGCCGAGCCCCUCCUCUUGGCCUCCCCCAGGCCUCUGGCUACUAGGAGUCCAGGCUCCGUAAGCACCUCAAGGGCCACCAAGGAGAAUUAUGUUCACAAGUGUCACCAACAAGUCAAAACCAUGGAGUCUGGCAGAAGAGAAAUGGCAACUAUGCAAAUAAAGUAGAGAAAUGGCCACUCUGGGAAUCAGAUAAAGGAGGGAAAGGGGCGAUUGUGCAAGUAAGACAUAAAGUGCAACUCUGCAAAUAAAACCGAACCUGAGACAGAGAGAAGAAAGGACACUUACUUCUGCCACCUGUCCCCCUCCCCCUGGCAGGUCUGGAACCCCCUAAAGUGCGAGUCAAGGAUGAGGUAUAACAGCUUAAAAUCUCUGAUGCACUCAAUAGUCAACAUGUUACAUAAACACAGAAUCCAACCCCGCUCUUGCAAGGCCCCACAUCACUUGCCUCCCUUUGAUCGUGGCUCCGGUGCCAAUAAAACUUUAUUCACCGAAAACAGGCAACUAGCCUGCAGGCCAGUUUGAUUGUUUUUUCUAACAGAACAUUAAAAUAUUGUUCAUCUUGAUUACGGGGCAAAUUUGGGGCAUC